UCCUUCGAUCUUUUCGUUACCCACAAUUAUUUGCAUCGCGUUUCCUAUUGCCAUUGCGAAACCCUAACCCUAUCCCUCCGUCCCCGAAAUCGAGAUCGUCGCCAUGCCUGGCGGGGAGCCGCUUUCCCCCUCCUCGAUGCACCAAAGGUCUUCGGACGAUCAUGGUGCGGAGGCCUCGUCGAAGCGGCGGAAGCACCACCACCACCACCAUCACCGCCGCCGACACCAUCACCGAAGCAGGCAGGGGCACGGUAGCGGUGAAGAUGCUCGGGAUAGCUCACCCGCUCCCCAGGUGGUGGCGGGUUCAUCCGUAGAGCCGAUGGUCGUCGACGAUGAGCGAGAGGAAGGAGAGAUUCUUGAGGAGGACGAAGAGAGUCCCGAGGUUAAUGGCGGGAAGUUCGAUGGAUUUAAGCUCGCUGGGAGUUCUGAUGCUGAAUCAGGCGAGAUUAACUCUGCCGGUCUUGAUGGUGACACAAAUCUGAUCUUGCAUGUGCCCAAAGAUACUUCAUGCACGCAAAAUAUGAAGGCACUUGAUCACAAUCAGGUUGUUCAUGGAAAUGAUUUUUCUAGCAGGAGUGACAGAGAUCAUCUGGAGAGAGCUAUGUCAGAUGAAGGUACUUUAUCCUUGAAAUUUGAGACUGUAUCUUUUAGUGACGAGGAGAAAAAAAUUGCAUUUCAAACAAAUGCUAAAAAAAGACAACGAAAAUCAUCAGAGAAUGAUGUACACGACUCAAAAGUUCAUGUAAGCUCAAGAUCUCCUGUCUCUAGAGAACAUUCUCAUUUAAUAAAUCAUAGAAAAGAGGAUGACCUUGAAAAAAGAAAUUCUGACAGUGACUCGGGGAUGCUUGACUCAAGUGAUUAUUAUGUGGAUUCAAGGGAUGUUUAUGGAAGGCAAUCUGAUAGGAGCAGAUCCAUUUCUGCCAAAAGAUUGAUGGACAAGCACCUUGAAAUUGGAAGAUCUCCAUUUUCUGAAAGUUUUCAUGAUGACAGACUACAUCAAGAUAGGUCCAAGUCCUGUGAUCACACAGAGAGGCUAUCUUCUGAGAAGGUUUCACGACCCUUGGCCAAUGGUGAUGAUCCAGUUGAUUCAGGAGGUUCAAGGGAUGAUUUUGGUAGAUAUAAUAGGUUGGAUAAUGCCAUUGCUAUUAAUCGAGCAAGCAAUAAUGAACUACCUUAUGAAAGAGAGAAUAGCAUCAGUGGAAUACAAGAUGACAGGCAUGGAAAUUGGGACAAAGAAAAGGAGAGGGAUAGAAACAGUAGAGGUGCCAGAGACAGGGAUAAUGUGGACUUAGAUAAAAGGACUCAUAGGGAAAGAGAGAGGAUUGACAGUCAUAACAGACAUGAUCGGGAGCACCGGCAUGGAAGUCGUGCAAGAGAUAAUGUAAGGGAAAGAUCCAGAGGCAGCGCUAGAGACAAAGACAAUGUUGAGUUCAAAAAAGAAGUUCGUUCAGAAAGAGAGAGUAGUAGUUAUAGUAGAUAUGAUAGAAGGGAGGACAAUCAUGAUGUCCGAGACAAGGAUAGGAAUAGAGAAAGAUACAGCAGUAGUAAAAGCGAAAGAGUUAGAGAUUCCCAUAGUGACCUUAAGAAGGAGAGGCGGGAUAGUAGACAGGAAAGAAACAUAGUUGAUGAUCAUAGAGAUAAGAAUCGAGCUUGGGACAGGGAGGUUAAUGUGCAGAAUGUUAGAAAUCAUGGACAGAUAGAAAAAGAUAGGGGUGCUAACAGGGAUAAACACAUCGAAUCUAGACACUCAAGGCAUGAUGAAUCACAGCAUCACAAGGACAAAUCACGGUCUAAGGAGGAAGGUUUUCAUACUGACCAUCCCAAAGAAGACAAGCAAAAGUCUAUUAGGGAGGAAGAAGAAGAUGACUACCAAGAAAGGAUUACACAACAACUUGCCAAGCAGGAUGAAGAAGAUGUUGACAAGAUUAAAGAAGAAAGCCGAAAGAGAAGGCAAGCUAUAUUGGAAAAAUACAGACAACGUCAGCUACAACAGGUUGAAUCUUCAUCUGAUGGCAAUGUGAAUGCAAAUGAUAAAGCUACUUUGGAUAAGGAGAAGCAACAAGGCCCACAAGCUACAGUUCUUGUGGAUAAACCUAAUGGUCAUGAGCUUGAAAGUGCAAAUGAUUUUGGAGAUGCAUCUGAUGUUGACACAUCAUUUACUGUGAAGAAGUCACCUGUGCAAAUUGUAAAUUUGGUUGAUAAAGCAUCAAACACUGCUGGAGAACUUGGGGAGGGUACACCAAAGAGUGAGAGAUCUACAGACAUGUUUAGUGAUGACAUAUUUGGAGAAUCACCUGCUGGGGUUAGCAAAAUGGUCAAGGAUGAAGGACCACAAAUAGAUCAAAGUUGUCUUUAUGACAAUUGGGAUGAUGCAGAGGGUUAUUAUAGUUACAGGUUUGGGGAAGUGCUUGAUGGUCGUUAUGAAGUUAUAGCAGCUCAUGGAAAGGGUGUUUUCUCCACAGUUGUCCGUGUAAAGGAUCUCAAGGCUAGGAAGAGUGAUCCUGAAGUAGCUAUUAAAAUAAUACGCAAUAAUGAAACCAUGUACAAGGCUGGUCAAGAUGAACUAGUCAUUUUGAAGAAAUUGGCGGGAGCUGAUCCUGAGGACAAGCGGCAUUGUGUUAGGUUUAUCUCAUCUUUCAAGUAUCGGAAUCAUCUUUGCUUAGUUUUUGAAUCUCUUCAUAUGAACCUUCGUGAGGUUCUAAAGAAAUUUGGUCGUAACAUUGGACUCAAGCUUACUGCUGUGCGGGCAUACGCGAAGCAGCUUUUCAUUGCGCUGAAACACCUCAGAAAUUGUGGCGUUCUGCAUUGUGAUAUUAAGCCAGAUAAUAUGCUGGUAAAUGAGGCCAAAAAUGUUCUAAAGCUUUGUGAUUUUGGGAACGCCAUGUUUGCGGGUAAGAAUGAGAUUACCCCAUAUCUUGUUAGCCGGUUUUAUCGUGCACCUGAAAUAAUUCUUGGAUUGCCAUAUGACCAUCCCAUGGAUAUGUGGUCAGUUGGCUGUUGUCUCUAUGAACUUUACACAGGAAAAGUGCUCUUUCCUGGGCCAUCCAACAAUGACAUGCUUCGACUUCAUAUGGAGUUAAAGGGUCCUUUUCCCAAAAAGAUGCUUCGCAAGGGUGCCUUCACAGAUCAACAUUUUGAUCAAGAUUUGAACUUUCAUGCCACUGAGGAGGAUCCAGUUACAAAGAAGCCUAUUAAGAGAUUACUGUUCAACAUUAAGCCAAAGGACAUUUGUGCCCUCAUAUCGAGUUUUCCUGGCGAGGAUCCCAAAUUGUUAUCAAGUUUUAAGGAUCUUUUAGAUCGAAUAUUUGUAUUGGACCCUGAAAAGAGGAUGACAGUUUCUCAAGCUUUGAGUCAUCCAUUUAUCACGGGCAAGUGAACUGAUGCUGAUUUAUUGACUGUCAAAAUGCUGUUCACAUCUACCUUGUGAGCUAAAUUUUUUUCCCACCCAUCUAAUUCUUGGGCAUUUAUUUGUGUUUUCACUCGGCUGGAGCAUCAUGGAUCAUGUUAAUGAGGAGUCGAAGAGAUCAAUGGUUUGAAUGCCUUCUCACAUGGGAGUUCUUAUCAUUGGGAUGUUAAUCUGUUUCUUGGCUAUUUACUAUCAACACUCUUUUAGGUGCUAAGAAGGCAACCAAAGAAGACGUUAGAUUGGAGCGGCGGGAUCUCUUGCUAGUGCUGUUAAAUCAAUAUGAAAUUAAGUUCGUUGUAUAAUGGUUCAUCUAAGUUAAUAGACGGAGGGUGCUGCCAAGACCUUCGGGGAUGGUUAUAAAUUGUCUAGGUUCAACCUUCUACUAGUUUUCAGCCUGUUUUGCUUGAAUAAAAUAGUUAAACUGUGUUAGGCAGAUGUCGAUAAAGUUCCUACACAAUUUUACACUAUUUUACGGCUGCUGCUUGUAUAUAAAGACGUUUUUUUUAUCCUUUUCAUUUUAUUUUUAGAAAAGGAACCCUUGACUGUUAUUGCGUGCGUAAAAGGUUAAAAGGGUUCGUGGAAUCAUUUAAUCAUAUGAUAUUUUGCAUUUGCGAA